rnacentral:rRNA from 1 species
CCUACGGGUGGCAGCAGUGGGGAAUAUUGCACAAUGGGCGCAAGCCUGAUGCAGCCAUGCCGCGUGUGUGAAGAAGGCCUUCGGGUUGUAAAGCACUUUCAGCGGGGAGGAGGGCGUUAAGGUUAAUAACCUUGUCGAUUGACGUUACCCGCAGAAGAAGCACCGGCUAACUCCGUGCCAGCAGCCGCGGUAAUACGGAGGGUGCAAGCGUUAAUCGGAAUUACUGGGCGUAAAGCGCACGCAGGCGGUCUGUCAAGUCGGAUGUGAAAUCCCCGGGCUCAACCUGGGAACUGCAUUCGAAACUGGCAGGCUAGAGUCUUGUAGAGGGGGGUAGAAUUCCAGGUGUAGCGGUGAAAUGCGUAGAGAUCUGGAGGAAUACCGGUGGCGAAGGCGGCCCCCUGGACAAAGACUGACGCUCAGGUGGGAAAGCGUGGGGAGCAAACAGGAUUAGAUACCCGGGUAGUC